rnacentral:rRNA from 1 species
UACGGGGGGAGCAAGCGUUGUUCGGAUUUACUGGGCGUAAAGCGCACGUAGGCGGAUUGGUCAGUUAGGGGUGAAAUCCUGGAGCUCAACUCCAGAACUGCCUUUAAUACUGCCAGUCUCGAGUCCGGAAGAGGUAAGUGGAAUUCCUGGUGUAGCGGUGAAAUGCGCAGAUAUCAGGAGGAACACCGGUGGCGAAGGCGCACAUCUGGCCCGAUACUGACGCUGAAGCGCGAAAGCUAGGGGAGCAAACGGG